rnacentral:lncRNA from 1 species
CACGACCAUUAAACAUGUCAGAAAUAAAAGCUGGCUUGGAUCGAUCAAAACACUCCUGAGAAUGAUGUCAUGACAGGAAACAGGAAGUAGAUCAAGCGUUGAAAUCAAAUUAAGUGAUCAAACAUAAGCAUCAUGUGACUUUCAUCUCCUCUGACUCCAGCUGUGUGAAGAGGAGUGGCAGACGCACUGAAUUACCUGAUUUGGAUCCACAGGUGGGAGCGAUCUGGCCGCUCGGACAGGUGCACAUGUUGGGUCUGGAGCAGAAGCCGUCUCCGCAGGGGCUGCGACAAAUAGCUGAGAACAGCAAAAACAAUGACUGAUGACAUCUAUUGAUUGCUUGACCUUCACAGACAUCAAUAAACAUGCAGAAGGCACCAGAGCUUCAGUCCGGUCCAGAGAGGAGGGUGCGGCUCGGGUUUCUCCACCCACCGUGUGCCAUUGUUCUGCAUCAGUCUCAGGCUGGACGCCGGUGGGCUGGGAUGCAGACGGACACUCCCCUCUUCUGACCGCGGACGCAAACACCCAUCAGCAUGCAACAGCUCAUUCUGUGUUCAGUAAGGGGAAACCUACUUCUAUCCCUUACUGAAGCACUGCUGCAUCAAUGCAGUGACGUAGCGUGGUAUUAUUUGAUACAUGUACCCAGUGUUGUGGAGGAACUAGUUACAUGUAACGUCAUUUAAAUACAAAAUAAAUGUAACCGCAAUCUGUUACAGUUACUUAUGAAAAUGUUAAGGGUUACAUCUGAAUAUUUUCACAUGCAUACAGAUUUGUUUGAUUUCUUUCCCAAAUUGCAUUGAAUGCUCUAAAAUAUGAGCCACUAAUGUUUCAGGAGACAUGCUUAUUCAUAACACAAUAAGGUUUGUGUAUAUGCUUUAUUUUGUAAGAUGAACUGUUUUAAGCAUUGUUAGAUGCCAGUGUUUUCUGUCAUAG